rnacentral:rRNA from 1 species
ACGAUGACUCUCGGCAACGGAUAUCUCGGCUCUCGCAUCGAUGAAGAACGUAGCGAAAUGCGAUACCUGGUGUGAAUUGCAGAAUCCCGUGAACCAUCGAGUCUUUGAAUGCAAGUUGCGCCCGAGGCCACCCGGUCGAGGGCACGCCUGCCUGGGCGUCAUGC